UACGAAGGGGGCUAGCGUUGCUCGGAAUUACUGGGCGUAAAGCGCACGUAGGCGGUCUUUUAAGUCGGGGGUGAAAUCCUGGAGCUCAACUCCAGAACUGCCUUUGAUACUGGAAGACUUGAGUCCGGGAGAGGUGAGUGGAACUGCGAGUGUAGAGGUGAAAUUCGUAGAUAUUCGCAAGAACACCAGUGGCGAAGGCGGCUCACUGGCCCGAUACUGACGCUGAGGCACGAAAGCGUGGGGAGCGAACAGG
rnacentral:rRNA from 1 species